rnacentral:ncRNA from 1 species
CCACUGGAGAGAGGCGUGGCCCGCACCGGCGCCGCGCCCACCGAAGGAGCAAGCCCAGGCGCAGGCCGCGGGUGAAUCUCUCAGGUAAAGCGGACAGCGGCGG